rnacentral:rRNA from 1 species
CACAUGCAGUCGAGCGGUAGCACAGAGGGAGCUUGCUCCCUGGGUGACGAGCGGCGGACGGGUGAGUAAUGUCUGGGAAACUGCCUGAUGGAGGGGGAUAACUACUGGAAACGGUAGCUAAUACCGCAUAACGUCGCAAGACCAAAGAGGGGGACCUUCGGGCCUCUUGCCAUCGGAUGUGCCCAGAUGGGAUUAGCUAGUAGGUGGGGUAAUGGCUCACCUAGGCGACGAUCCCUAGCUGGUCUGAGAGGAUGACCAGCCACACUGGAACUGAGACACGGUCCAGACUCCUACGGGAGGCAGCAGUGGGGAAUAUUGCACAAUGGGCGCAAGCCUGAUGCAGCCAUGCCGCGUGUGUGAAGAAGGCCUUCGGGUUGUAAAGCACUUUCAGCGAGGAGGAAGGUG